rnacentral:rRNA from 1 species
AGUGAACGCUGGCGGUAGGCCUAACACAUGCAAGUCGAACGGCAGCACAGUAAGAGCUUGCUCUUACGGGUGGCGAGUGGCGGACGGGUGAGGAAUACAUCGGAAUCUACUUUUUCGUGGGGGAUAACGUAGGGAAACUUACGCUAAUACCGCAUACGACCUACGGGUGAAAGCAGGGGAUCUUCGGACCUUGCGCGAUUGAAUGAGCCGAUGUCGGAUUAGCUAGUUGGCGGGGUAAAGGCCCACCAAGGCGACGAUCCGUAGCUGGUCUGAGAGGAUGAACAGCCACACUGGAACUGAGACACGGUCCAGACUCCUACGGGAGGCAGCAGUGGGGAAUAUUGGACAAUGGGCGCAAGCCUGAUCCAGCCAUACCGCGUGGGUGAAGAAGGCCUUCGGGUUGUAAAGCCCUUUUGUUGGGAAAGAAAAGCAGCAGGUUAAUACCCCGCUGUCCUGACGGUACCCAAAGAAUAAGCACCGGCUAACUUCGUG